GGAAGCGGAAGGCCCGGCCCCCGGAAGUGCAGGGCAUUGACACCCGGUGCCCGCGAGGGGGAGCUGCGCUGACAGGAGCGGAAGUAAAACCAGAAGGAAGCACUUUUUGGAGAACAAUCCUGGUAUUCCAACGCUGAGCUUGGAUGGACCUAUUUCAGCACUUCCUUCUGCCUGAGCUCACCUCCACUGAGGGUUCCUGCGGCCAUGGAAGCAACGUGCAGACAAGAAUCUCUGAUGGGAGACACCGGCCAAAGAUUUUCACAACUGCUUCAGUGUGAAACCAAAAGAAAAUUAAGGCUGCAGCUCCUGAGAACCACCAGUGUGAAACACAGGACCUUGAACUACACAUCUGCCAUACAUCAGUCAGCAGUGGUAGCCUGUAAACAUACAGAAAAAUAUUUAAACCAGAGGUAAGCAAAAAGCCAAAAGAUGUCUUUGUUUGUACACAAUCGAUCCUGUCCCAAAGCAAUCAUUUCCAUAUGUAGUAAGAAUCUAGAAAUAUGCUUUCCUUUUUCCCAAAAUAAAGUUUGUUUAUAUUUAAGAUCACUUGAGGACCUGUAAAGUACAUCUUUUUCUUUAAUUCAUUUUAAAAGACAAAAACCAAAGAACUCUUAGGGUACUGUAAUCCAUGAUUUUUAGUGUGCUACAGAAUUCAACAUCCAUGGUUCUAUGUUCCACCAUCAGGACAACUAAUGGAGUUCUCAUCAAGUCAGUGUUAUUUUGGAAUGCAGAGUCUUUGCUGUAUCGCUAUUAGCAGAAUAAUUUUAGUACUUGUGUUUAAUUUUCCUACCAUUUUCUCCUCACUUCUCCUAGCAAGCCUGUCCUUAUGUUUCCAGACAGCUAUGAUAGCAGUUUGGCAACCAGGGGAGUUGCCAAACAUGUAAUAGGCU